rnacentral:rRNA from 1 species
GUUUGAUCAUGGCUCAGGAUGAACGCUAGCGGCAGGCUUAAUACAUGCAAGUCGUGGGGCAGCAGGUUUGUAGCAAUACAGAUGCUGGCGACCGGCAAACGGGUGCGUAACACGUACGCAACCUUCCCGUUACUGUGGCAUAGCCCAGGGAAACUUGGAUUAAUACCACAUAUUAUAUUGAGGGGGCAUCCUCUUGAUAUCAAAGCUUCGGCGGUAACGGAUGGGCGUGCGGUUGAUUAGGUAGUUGGCGGGGUAACGGCCCACCAAGCCUACGAUCAAUAGCUGAUGUGAGAGCAUGAUCAGCCACACGGGCACUGAGACACGGGCCCGACUCCUACGGGAGGCAGCAGUAAGGAAUAUUGGGCAAUGGACGCAAGUCU